GUAUUUUGUUAAUGGCCGAAGCCAUAAGUGACAUUCUAGACAUACAUUCGUUUAUAUAUUAGUCUUAUCGAAGCACAAGGCUUCUGCCCAGAGCGAAAGGCCACUGAUGACCUUACCGGAAGCGUGUUAGGCCUCCACUUUCUCCACUGGCGUCAAAGACUACGGUGGUGCACAAAAAAGAAGGGUAGAUGAUACGACGGGCGCGUGUUACCUCGAAAGGCCAGCUUCAACCAUCGAAAAUCCAAUAAUGAUCCUUCCGCAGGUUCACCUACGGAAA
rnacentral:misc_RNA from 1 species